rnacentral:rRNA from 1 species
GACGAACGCUGGCGGCGUGCUUAACACAUGCAAGUCGAACGGUGAAGCUCCAGCUUGCUGGAGUGGAUCAGUGGCGAACGGGUGAGUAACACGUGAGCAACCUGCCCCUGACUCUGGAAUAAGCGCUGGAAACGGCGUCUAAUACUGGAUACGAGAAGGGUCCGCAUGGGCACUUUCUGGAAAGUUUUUCGGUUGGGGAUGGGCUCGCGGCCUAUCAGCUUGUUGGUGAGGUAAUGGCUCACCAAGGCGACGACGGGUAGCCGGCCUGAGAGGGCGACCGGCCACACUGGGACUGAGACACGGCCCAGACUCCUACGGGAGGCAGCAGUGGGGACUAUUGCACAAUGGGCGAAAGCCUGAUGCAGCGACGCCGCGUGAGGGAUGACGGCCUUCGGGUUGUAAACCUCUUUCAGCAGGGAAGAAGCGAAAGUGACGGUACCUGCAGAAGAAGCACCGGCUAACUACGUG